rnacentral:lncRNA from 1 species
UCUGGCGCGAAUUGCACUUCAAAUUUUCAACGUAGCCAAGAAGCUGCUACGAGUGUCAAACCUGACCUGGUUGCUGCUCUAACUGACCAUCCUAGAAGAGCCGUGAGCGCCACUAUUUUUGAGCACUUGGCUGCUGGUGUCACUGUAAAUGGAAAGGACAUUGUCGUUCAAAAAAUUUUCUGACUGUAACUCAAUUCCCAGAAUCACGAAAGGAUAUAAGUGAGCAAUCCUUGCUGGUUCAUCUAGCGGCUGGAUUUUCACUAAGGGGAAAGGUAUUCAAACUUAUUAUAUAUACAUAAAAUAUAGUUUUUACCUUGUAUAUAUAGUUGGUUUUGGUGACAAUGAUUCGGAUAAAUCCCUUGCGCUCCUCUAACUCUGCCUCUGGCUUCAUGAUAGCUGAU